UGGGGUGGGAGGGGUGGAGAGGGCAAAUUUAGAAGGGGACAAAGACACCCGGGACUCCUUCCUCCAAGUGAGAGCUGGAGAAAAGAGUGACUACAGAAGCCAGCUAAUGAGGAUUCCCCUGUCAAUGAGAUAGUCAAGAUCCUUUCUGGAAUGUCCCUGCCUGCAGGCCCCAAGGAGCCUCCUAGACGAAUUUGAGGAGGAAAUGAGGUGCAGAGUGUGGGGGGACACGAGGGUGGGGGUGGGGGUGGUGGAGGAGGGUGAGAGGGGAGGGAAGCUCGCUCCAGCUCUGUCUGGAAGGGUCUGAUAAAUUAGCUCCUCUGUUCACAGGAAGGAGGAGGAGCAAGAAGAGGAGGAGGAGGAGGAGUCGGGGGAGAAGGAAGAGGCUGCAGUGCCUGAGAGCAGCGGUGUUUCCUGUCCCCAGGGGACAUUCCCUCUCCACUCCCUGCUUGUUGAUGCCUCUACUGGAGUGAGAGGACCUCCCUUACAUCGUGGUCUGGAGAGCUAGCUCGUCUGUGUUGUAAUUCAAGGCUCCUUUAUAGAGAACCCAGAGGAUAUGAGUGGGGUCGGUGGGAGAGCAUCUACGAGAGGAUGCUGCUGUUUCACCAAAAAGGUCCUGCAUGCAUCUAAAAUACGGAUGUUUAAAAAAGCAUAAAAUGCCAGAAAUAGCCGAAGAGCACUCCGACAUUGGGGGAAGCGUCAGGUGCCCGUGGAACUCAUUGAAGGCUGUCCCGUCCUGGUCAGACUCGACGACAGAGGAAGGGAAGAGGAGCGUGUUCAGGGCUCCAGCAGAUCUGACAUUCCUGCCUUGGAUCCCUCCCCCCGAGAAAGAAUCUAUUCCUCGGGAAAGCCUCUGA
rnacentral:lncRNA from 1 species